GCAGUAGUGUUUCAACUGUAGAAUUCUCACCUUCCACGUGGGAGACCUGGGCUCAAUUCCCAGCCAGUGCA
rnacentral:tRNA from 1 species